GGCGGUAUAGCUCAGUGGUCUAGCAGCACCCGGCUUUUAACCGGAUGGUCCUGGGUUCAAAUCCCAGUGCCGCCACCA
rnacentral:tRNA from 1 species